CCAGACAGCUGAGACGGCCCGGAGGCUCUUUUGAAGGAAGCUAGCGGAAAAUUGCUUCUCAGCUUUCCAACGGUGCUCCAUUUCGCUUUCUCAAUACUUCGGCGUACACUUCAAGUUAACUUUGCGAUAUAUACCUCAAUCCACGACGAUAAGUUUCUUCAAAUUCUUCCGCGAGUGCGAACGCAUAAAGGGUCAUCUGCCACUCAGAACAUCACAAGAACAACAACAAUAGAUGAUGACGAUGAGAUGGGAUUUUUCACCCCGUCUCAUGGGGUGGUGCAGUACCCUACCCCAUUGCACGUGGAACAUCAUGUGAAGGUUACGGAGAAAUGGUGGAAACACGAGACAGAAAGCGUCUGGAGAAAUCCAGUGGAUGACAAGAAGUCCAUGAAGAGGUGAAGGACCCGACGAUGGAGCACAGGAUUUUCAUAUGGGCCAAUGGGUGCAGCUAAGUUGAGCAGAACAGAUAAGUGUAUGACGCAACAACACCAAAGCAUGAUUUAAAACUGUUUAUACAACAUGUAUAUUGUAUAAACCAAUGUAACUAACCUUAACCAAUGUAUAAACUUCAUAACAGGCUUGGAACAUA